GCAGAUGUGGCGGAAUCGGCAGACGCGCUAGAUUCAGGUUCUAGUGGUAGUAAUACCGUGUGGGUUCAAGUCCCUUCAUCUGCACCA
rnacentral:tRNA from 1 species